rnacentral:rRNA from 1 species
GACGAACGCUGGCGGCGCGCUUAACACAUGCAAGUCGAACGGAAAGGCCUGCUUUCCCUUGUGGAUUGCGGGUACUCGAGUGGCGAACGGGUGAGUAACACGUGAGUGAUCUGCCCCCAACUUGGGUAUAAGCCUGGGAAACUGGGUCUAAUUCCCGAUAGGACUGCAGGGUGGUGCCUGUGGUGGAAAACGAUUUUCUAGUGGUUGGGGAUGAGCUCGCGGCCUAUCAGCUUGUUGGUGGGGUAAUGGCCUACCAAGGCGGCGACGGGUAGCCGGCCUGGGAGGGUGGACGGCCACAUUGGGACUGAGAGACGGCCCAGACUCCUACGGGAGGCAGCAGUGGGGAAUAUUGCACAAUGGGCGGAAGCCUGAUGCAGCGACGCCGCGUGGGGGAUGACGGCCUUCGGGUUGUAAACUCCUUUCGACCGCGAGGAAGCCACCUGGUUGGAAGGGUGGUGACGGUAGUGGUAGAAGAAGCACCGGCUAACUACGUG